UUGGCCGGGCGACGGUUGUCCCGGUUUAAGCGUGUAGGUGUGUGUUCCAGGUAAAUCCGGUUCACUUUAACACUGAGGCGUGAUGACGAGGCACUACGGUGCUGAAGCAACAAAUGCCCUGCUUCCAGGAAAAGCCUCUAAGCAUCAGGUAACAUCAAAUCGUACCCCAAACCGACACAGGUGGUCAGGUAGAGAAUACCAAGGCGCUUGAGAGAACUCGGGUGAAGGAACUAGGCAAAAUGGUGCCGUAACUUCGGGAGAAGGCACGCUGACACGUAGGUGAAGUGAUUUACUCAUGGAGCUGAAGUCAGUCGAAGAUACCAGCUGGCUGCAACUGUUUAUUAAAAACACAGCACUGUGCAAACACGAAAGUGGACGUAUACGGUGUGACGCCUGCCCGGUGCCGGAAGGUUAAUUGAUGGGGUCAGCGCAAGCGAAGCUCCUGAUCGAAGCCCCGGUAAACGGCGGCCGUAACUAUAACGGUCCUAAGGUAGCGAAAUUCCUUGUCGGGUAAGUUCCGACCUGCACGAAUGGCGUAAUGAUGGCCAGGCUGUCUCCACCCGAGACUCAGUGAAAUUGAACUCGCUGUGAAGAUGCAGUGUACCCGCGGCAAGACGGAAAGACCCCGUGAACCUUUACUAUAGCUUGACACUGAACAUUGAGCCUUGAUGUGUAGGAUAGGUGGGAGGCUUUGAAGUGUGGACGCCAGUCUGCAUGGAGCCGGCCUUGAAAUACCACCCUUUAAUGUUUGAUGUUCUAACGUGGACCCGUGAUCCGGGUUGCGGACAGUGUCUGGUGGGUAGUUUGACUGGGGCGGUCUCCUCCUAAAGAGUAACGGAGGAGCACGAAGGUUGGCUAAUCCUGGUCGGACAUCAGGAGGUUAGUGCAAUGGCAUAAGCCAGCUUGACUGCGAGCGUGACGGCGCGAGCAGGUGCGAAAGCAGGUCAUAGUGAUCCGGUGGUUCUGAAUGGAAGGGCCAUCGCUCAACGGAUAAAAGGUACUCCGGGGAUAACAGGCUGAUACCGCCCAAGAGUUCAUAUCGACGGCGGUGUUUGGCACCUCGAUGUCGGCUCAUCACAUCCUGGGGCUGAAGUAGGUCCCAAGGGUAUGGCUGUUCGCCAUUUAAAGUGGUACGCGAGCUGGGUUUAGAACGUCGUGAGACAGUUCGGUCCCUAUCUGCCGUGGGCGCUGGAGAACUGAGGGGGGCUGCUCCUAGUACGAGAGGACCGGAGUGGACGCAUCACUGGUGUUCGGGUUGUCAUGCCAAUGGCACUGCCCGGUAGCUAAAUGCGGAAGAGAUAAGUGCUGAAAGCAUCUAAGCACGAAACUUGCCCCGAGAUGAGUUCUCCCUGAGACUUAGAGUCUCCUGAAGGAACGUUGAAGACGACGACGUUGAUAGGCCGGGUGUGUAAGCGCAGCGAUGCGUUGAGCUAACCGGUACUAAUGAACCGUGAGGCUUAACCUUACA
rnacentral:rRNA from 1 species